rnacentral:rRNA from 1 species
AUGGCCGUAGUCAGCAGAGCCCGGGCUUCUCUCCCUUCGCCGUCAUCGUCGCCGUUGCCGGCCUUCUCCCCUCGGUCGCCGCAGCCCGAGGUGGCGGAGAGGAUGUUCACGCGUGGAGGGAGCGGCCGGUCGUCGUCGUCCAGUGCCUGCGGGGCUAACAGGAGCGCCAGCCUCAGAGAGAUCGACGAAGAGGCCGCCAUCUUGCAUGAUGCUGAUGAUGAUGACGGUGGAGGGAAGCUGUAUGUCGCCGUCGGGAAGGACAUCAAGGACAGCAGGUCCAACCUCAUCUGGGCAGCUCGGAACCUCCUCGCCGGUGAUCCCAAGCUUGUCCUGCUGCACGUCCACCAGCCUGCCGACAGAAUCAUGAUAGGAUUAUGCAAGGUUCCAGCAAGCCAGGUCGAAGAAAAGGAGCUCAAAGCAUACAGAAAGAUUGAGAAGGAGGAGAUGAACACACUUUUAAACCAGUACCUCAAUUUCUGCAGAGUUUCUCUCAAGAUGCAAGCUGAAACGCUGGUGAUCGAGAAGAACAGUCCUGCAAAUGGGAUUGUUGAGCUCAUUGAUCAGAAUCGCAUUACAAAGCUUGUUAUGGGAACAUCUUCCUUCUCAGUGAAGAGGAAAGUACCAAAAUCAAAAGUUGCAGCCGGUGUGCAUGCACAGGCCAAACCAUACUGCCAGAUCUUCUAUAUUUGCAAAGAGACUCUUGCUUGCUCUAGGGAGGCCACUCAGCUUUGUGCAAAAGUAGAGUCACCCCGAAGUAGCUGCGCAAGCACUAUCUCAGAUCAACCUGAGUUAACUCCAAGAUCCCUAUCACUGCCACCAGGACAUCCAGGUCUUUUAGGCUCUACAGGCCAACAACCCCUUCCACGACGGUCCAACUCAGUCAGUUAUCCCUUGUCUGGAAUGAUAGCAGACAGUGUAGAAAACAUGUCACCUGCAAGGCGGCAGUCAAUUGAUAGUCUCUUAGGCUCUACAGAACAAAAGGCCCUGCCACGACGGUCCAACUCAGUUAGUUAUUCCUUGUCUGGAUCGAUAGCGGGCAGUGUAGAAAUCAUGUCACCUGCAAGGCGGCAGUCGAUUGAUAUGACACCAACAGGUUCCUCUCCGAGUUCCAGCCAGCAAAGCACUGGUGGGUCCUCAUUGGGUCUGAGGGAUUUGGACAGUAUGGAUGGCUCACCAGUGCCUGUUUCAGUUGCAAGCUCUGAAGAAGAACAUCAGCACUCUACGGUGGAAAUACGUGAAAUGUUUGAGCAACUGCACCGAGUCCGCAAUCAGCUAGAGCGCUCGAAAAAGGAAGCGUCUGAGGGCCGGCAGAAAGCCGAGAAGAACUUGUUUGAAUCUUCUAUGAUGUUCAAAGCACGGGAGAGUUCACUCUGCAAAGAAAAAAAGGAGGUAGAGGAAAGGCUAACAAGAGAAAAGGCUGACCUUGAAAAAGAGCACUUCCAUGUAUGCAACGAGCUGCAGAAGGUAAAUGAGCAAAGAGCAGAAUUGGAGAGCAAGCUUCUCCAGACAAAUGCCCUAAUGGAAGAGCUCCAACAGUUGCAAGCAGAGCUGCAGCGUGAGAAAGACCAUGCUGUUAAAGAAGCUGAAGAAAUGCGCCAAACAAAUGGUAACAGUGUAUUUGGCUCUACUAGUGCUGUUGCCCUAACAGAAUUCAGCUACACAGAGAUAGAAGAGGCAACGGACAACUUUGAUGACUCCAAAAAGAUUGGCAGUGGUGGGUGUGGAACCGUCUACAAGGGAUUUCUCCGUCAUACUACCGUAGCCAUAAAGAAAUUCAACCGUGAAGGCACAACAGGAGAUAAAGAGUUCAAUGACGAGGUAGAAACACUUUCUAGGAUGAGGCAUCCAAACCUUGUCACUCUGAUAGGAGUGUGCAGGGAGGCCAAAGCGUUGGUCUUCGAAUUCCUGUCGAACGGAAGCCUAGAGGACUGCCUGCAGUGCGAGCACCAAAGAGAGCCACUCUCAUGGCGAAUGCGCAUCAAAAUCGCUGCCGACAUCUGCACGGGACUUAUCUUCCUCCACUCUAACAAACCAAAAGGCAUUGCCCAUGGCGAUCUGAAGCCUGACAAUGUCCUUCUUGACACUAGCUUUGUUUGCAAACUGGCAGACUUUGGAAUCUCUCGUCCCUUGGAUCUGACAAACACCACCGUCACCCCUUACCACCGAACAAACCAAAUUAAAGGCACAAUGGGAUACAUGGAUCCAGGAUACAUCGCCUCAGGGGAGAUCACAGCUCAGUAUGAUGUCUACUCCUUUGGUGUAGUUCUGAUGCGGUUGCUGACUGGCAAGAACCCCCUAGGCCUUCCGAAUGAGGUGGAGGCAGCCUUGAGCAAUGACAUGUUGCAAGAUAUAAUUGAUACUUCUGGAGGGGAAUGGCCACCUGAGUACACUGAAGAGUUGGCAAGACUAGCACUGAGAUGUUGCCGGUAUGAACGGAAGGAGCGGCCUAAUCUUGCAAAUGAAGCCUGGGGUAUCCUGCAAGCUAUGAUGAACUGUCCAGAUGAUAAAUGCAAGCCACCAACGUUUUUCAUCUGUCCAAUGACACAGGAGAUCAUGAGGGAUCCACACAUUGCUGCCGAUGGAUUCACAUAUGAAGGUGAGGCCAUCAAGGACUGGCUUCAAAGGGGGCAUAAAAUGUCCCCCAUGACCUACCUCAGCUUCACACACCAUGAGUUAAUGCCGAACAAUGCCCUUCGUUUUGCAAUUCAAGAAUGGCAAAUGCAACAGCAACCGUGA